rnacentral:tRNA from 1 species
GCGCCGGUGGUGUAAGGCGAACAUCGCUGCCCGGAAAGCAGAAGAUGCGGGUUCGAGACCCGGUUGGUGCA